UCCCUGGUGGUCUAGUGGCUAGGAUUCAGUGCUUACACUGCUGUGGCCCAGGUUCAACCCCUGGUCAGGGAA